CAGUACUUGUGAUGGACCUGGCAGUGUCUGCCACUCUCUGUAAUCUCUCAUUCUGGGUGUUCGAGUUGCUGAACCAACGGCGUGACAAAUAUGCUUUCUACUGUUCACCUGUAGAUUGAAAGCUGACACUGGAAUACUUUCUGCCCUUACAUGCUCUGAGAUAAACUAUUGAUACUAGGAGUCAAUCCAUCAAUGAUCCCAUGAAGCAAGAUGCCCAGGAAUAACCAGUUCACAGGCCUCAUUACACACCAUCUCAGGAGUCCUACAUUCUGCAGGAGCCAAAUUUAUCUCUGAUUUGAGCACAGAUGACUGGAACCAUGUAGUCUGCAAUAUGAGGAACAAGGAACUGCAGAUGCUGGUUGCAGAAGUUUAAGAGUCUGAAGAAGGGCCUUGAUCCGAAACAUCACAUAUCCAUGUUCUCCAGCGAUGCUGCCUGACCUGCUGAGUUACUGCAGCACUUUGUGUCCUACUCUGCAACAUAAUCUGAGUGAAUGUGAUUUAGAAUAAUUUAGUGUUGAAAGAAUUGUAGAAUUAUUUUCCAGUUUGUUUUCCUUUGUAGAUAAACUUUGCAUAUGUUAGUGAUAGUCAUUCUAAAUAGAUCAAAGUUCAACUUGUGGUAAUCAUGCAAAAAUUACAAUUCAGAAUUGAGACCUUUUUUUCCAAUUUAAGGUUGAAGGUUUGGUGCCACAUGACAGUUACUCCAGCAUUUUGUGUCUAUUGUUGGUGUAAACUAGCAUCUGCAGUUCUUUCCUACAGAUUUUAAUUCCAUGUAUUUUAAUUCAGGUAAAUUCUGUUUGGGUGCUUUAUGAGGAGGAAUGGUAUCAAACAUGGUAUCACCAGAUCACCCCAACCAGCAAUCCAGGACCUAUACCCUUCUCGCUGUUGCAAGAGAGCAAGCAAUAUUAUCAAAGACACCACUCACCCAGCACACAAACUGUUCACCCUCCUACCUUCCGGUAAGCGCUACCGCAGCAUGCGGAGCAAAACCACCAGAUUCAAAAACAGCUUCUUCCCUCAAGCCAUCAGACUACUCAACACACUUAAGAAAUUCCAUGAACAGUACCCAAACAAAGACAAAUAAACUGUGAAAAUAACUGGCUCAAUGUCUCCAGUACGAAAUUUGCACUUUUUCUAUAUUGCACCUUUCAUUGUUGCACCCUUUUUAAAAUACCUCAAAGUUUUUGCUACAUUUUGGCAUACUGUACAUAUUUUAAUAUUUUAAAUAAUGUAUGUCUAUUGUCUAUUUUUAGUGGUAUGUUGUCUGUCUGUGUUUUUAAUAUUACUUGCACAUUUGGAGUAUGGGGAAACGUAAUUUCGAUCCUCUGUGUAACAACUGUUGCAUAAUUGAAUUGACAAUAAAGCUUACUUUGACUUUGAAACAUGUCAAUUCUCUCAUACCAGUCAGCCUCUUAACAAUGCAGCCAAAUGGUCUAGAGUUAUCCUUGUGCAACCAAGUUUUCUAGGGUUACUUGGCAUUAAUUUAGAUUUGACAUUUAGCCAUCUUCCUUUUCAAGUAUUGUAUAAUGCGAUAUUUCAUCCCAAGAUUCAUUCCUGCAAAGUUGCAGAUGCAUUGUCAAUCCAAAUGCUUCAAUUUGUGGCUGCCUAGUUUGGAGGAGAGUGGAGCAGGGCAAUAAUUGAAUCAUGUUUUGUGUCCUAACAACUCAUUGGAAGGAGUCAAAUAGAAGCAUUCAUGCAAAGUGAGAGGCUUAAAAUUGACAAGACAAAAAUAAUAUACUGAAGUUACUAUUGGUCAGAUAGUACGUCUACUUGACAAGUCUCCUGGCCAAAUCGGUGACUAAAUGAUGCAGCAAACGCUACACCAAAAUCUAUUGGAGUAAUACCAGAUGAUGAAUCUCCCACCCCCAAUCUCACUCCUUUGAUCCACUUUGAUCCCCCCUCACUUCACCCACUCAAUCACUCGC